rnacentral:rRNA from 1 species
UACGGGGGGGGCAAGCGUUAUCCGGAAUUAUUGGGCGUAAAGAGCUCGUAGGCGGUUUGUCGCGUCUGCCGUGAAAGUCCGGGGCUCAACUCCGGAUCUGCGGUGGGUACGGGCAGACUAGAGUGAUGUAGGGGAGACUGGAAUUCCUGGUGUAGCGGUGAAAUGCGCAGAUAUCAGGAGGAACACCGAUGGCGAAGGCAGGUCUCUGGGCAUUAACUGACGCUGAGGAGCGAAAGCAUGGGGAGCGAACGGG